AGCUUUCUGUGAUGAUUCUGGCCCGUCUGCCUGCUUUGUUUUCCUCCUCAGCUCUCACCGCUCCAAUCAAACUCAUCUGGUUCACCUGCGUGCUGCUGCCUGCAGAGCAUUCAGGCUCAUGUCAUCCACCUGCCCUGCAGCUGUUACAUUCAGCACUCAGACGGUGCCAGGCUUUUGAAAGCCCUUUGGUGUGAGUAGAUAUCCAACGUUCCCUCCUUACCUGACCACGAUCUCGACCACAUUUAAUGUCUCUUGGAUUUCCCUGCCUUGCCCAGCCCAUGUCGGAUUCUUCACUGGCUUCUGGUUUCUGGACACGACCCUGGUUCUGCCUCUCGGCGUUGUCCCUGGAUUUGUCUGCCUGAUAUUGUCUUCAGGUGCCUGACCCGUUUCUGUGCCCUGACCACCAAUCCUCACCUGACCCUCAAAUGAGUUUGCCUCUUUCUGCCUCCCUGGUUCUGACCCUGCCUCGGCCUCUUGACCUCCGAAUCCUGAUUCCCCCUGGAUUUAUCACCUGCUACCUACCACUGUGCUACCAGUGCUCACGCUCUGGAUCUGUCUCCAUCUUGCAGAGCUGGUCUGUCCUCUACAACCAAAACCCCAGAGAUGACUCCUCGCCAUCACUUCGCUGAGGAACCAAGAAUCUGCCCCCGUUUUCCACGGCACUUUAAGGAGGUCGGUGGCUUUUCUUACUGAGCCUUAACCCCAAGAUUACAAGCCACUAACCUGCUUCUCUGUUCUCAGAGGUUCCUGUACCUUUGCUGGUGGCCGCCGGUCCCAUACCCUGAUUCUCAAUAAAACAUUUGCUUUUCCAUUUGUGUCUGACUGAAAUUCUGGGUCUUCUGUUCUGAGCAUUACACUUUCCUGCCAUCACCCUGAACAACAACUCUGUAAAUAAUCUGCAUUAAUAAGGGGAAUUACAGCAACAUUUUAUUUCCAUUUGGGUUCAGUAAAGUGUUAAAUUUAAUUUUUUUGAAUUUGAACUGGCGCAUGCAGGCAAGCGAUUGGAGAAGAUUCACAGCAUCAAGGGUGUACUUUUUUCAAUUUUGGCUUCAUGUUUUCAAAUGUCUUAAUCUGUGUGUUUACUUGAAAGUCCAGACAUUUGAUUAUAGUCUAAUAUGUAAAACAGAUUAAACAGGGACAUAGUAAAAUUUUAUUGAAAGUAAACUAACAUCUUUUUGAGGAAACAAAGAUGGAGAGAGUUUUAUGAACUUCUCUAGAAAUUUCGGAGAACCAUUUGAACAUCUUUGCAGACCACACACAUCCUGGACACAAACUGAUGAGACUUUUUACAGAUGUCUCUGUCUUUGCUGUGUAAAGUCAAAUUGUGCAAAUAAAUCUGAUUCUGAUUAAAUUACUUUCAUGCAUUUUGAAGGACUUUCAGCUGAAAACUGGAUUUAUUUAUUUGAUGAAUCAUUUGACGUGUUUUGUUGUGGUUGAUCAAUUAAAUAUCUCAGCUAACACAAACAUUCAGCAGGAAGUAAACCCAGCCGACACUGUAAAUCAUUUGCAGCUUUUUUUUUUCUUUUUCUGGAUAAUAAACAAACUGCAAAGCUAAACAAUGCAGAUUAAACACACGGAGGAAUUCUCACCACACUUAGCAAUGCUGAGCAUCGAGCUCAACCCCAAAGCACACAUCCAGCAUCCUAAUAAAGCCCAGAACAGCAGUCGACCUGCUCAGACACACACACACAAAAACUGAAAAAUACCAGCUUCAAAACACACACACACACACACACAGGCAAGCGGCUCAAACCCCACCUGCGCUGUGCAGAGGCAGACACCUGUCUGUGAGAGAGCAGGGGUCUCAAAUGAAAGGCUGAAUCAGAAUCUCAGAAGCUUAAAAGCGGACAAAGGGAAACACACCCACGAGCACACGCUGGAUAAAGGAGAAAUUUCAACUUUAAGGGACCCAAACAGUGAGUAUGCACUACAUGUGACACAUAGGGGUGCUGUGCUAGAGCGGGCGCCAGAAUACGGCAAAAAAAUAAUGUCUGCUAGGCAUUUGAAACCUGCUUCUGUGCGUCUAGGGAUGCAGAUAUGUACUUUCUGAGGUGAAUCUGGAUUUAUUAAAGUAUCUCUAUGUACCAGUAGUUCUAAUUUGUACAGUUUUAAGGUAAAUAGAAACAUCUAGUGAAAAGAAAAAUUGCAUCCAAACAUGAUGGUGAAUAAGGGCAAAACUAAAGAAAUGUUAUUUCUUACAAGAAUAAAGUUGAUAUUAGCAGAAUAAAGAUAAAAUAUUGUCUGAUGAAAGUCUUAAAAUUUGGAGAAAACUGGCGUCUUAAUGAAAAGCCCCACUUUUUUUCUCAUCUCAAUCUCGUAAUCUGUUGAUGACAAUGACAAAUAAAUCUUAUCUUAUCUUUUUUUUUCUAAAUUUCAUUUCAUCAUAUUCUUUCCUGCUGUUAUUGGUAUUUUAUAUUUUUUUUAACUGUAUUGCUUUAUUUAAGGUUUCUUUAACCUCGUAAUUGUUCAGCACUUUAUAAAGUUAUUAUUUCCGCCAUCAUUUUGGCGCCCCUCUAGCAAAGCGCCCCUACAGUGAAUGCCAGGGUUAAAGCAGUUUGGGGUUUUUCAUCAUAUUAGUUUUAUGUUUUGUAUAAUUUAGUUAACUUAAAUCGGUUUUUACAGUGUUUGCUAGUUUUUAUCAGUUAUUAGUUAAACAUUGUUUAGUUUUAGUUAGUUACAGUACUAGUUUUAGUUCUUUUCAUAAUUUGGUGAAUUUUUAGGUGCAGAAUUUAAAAAAGAUUAAAGUUUUGUGAAUAUGUACAGUGUGAUUGGGUAAUAAAUACUCAACAGAAGAUGUAAUUUUCAGCAAUGAAUUAAAUUAUUGUUGAAUAAGCAACUGACUGUGGUGUUUUAUGCAAACUUCUGCUGUAGCCAUUUUGCAGAGUAUCUUAAUUUGACCACUGCUGAUAUAAACCGCUUGUGUAGGAAAAAAAAGAAAAAUCUAUUUCACAACAGUUCGAAAGCUGAAAAAACAGAAAAUAAAAUAUAUUACAUCUAUAAUUUCAGUAUGCUUUUGUUAGCUUUAUAAAAUCAACAAUAUAGUUCCAAUUAGUUCCAGUUUUUUCCCAUUAAUUCCUGUUUUUAUUUAUCUCAGUUAAAGAAAAUCUUUUCUCAAUUUCAGUUCUUGUUGUUUUGUUUUAGCAUACCAGUUUUUUGUGUCUGGAUUCACAUUAGAAAGCUGAUCCUCCUCGCAGAGAGCUGCAGAUGUUUGUUAAAGAUGUAAAAAAAAAAAAAAAAAAAAAAGGCAGACAGGAAGAAAAGCUGCUUUUAAACAAUGAGAAGCCGAGCAGACUGGGACGGACGAUCUUCAAACACAUCCUCCUAAACUGGAAGCACAUCUGGCAAAUUUCAGAGUGAAUCGAGCAUCAUUGGGAACUAAUGAGCGUGACUUUGUCCUCAAAGUAGACUCAUUAGAGGACUGCGAAAUCCUUGUUGAGUCAAUUAAAGCUCAACGACAUGAAGACUAAAGAAAAUACAGCGUGGCCCGAAGCCUCGCGAAGGAAUUGUUCUGAGCACUGCAGGGAGGCUGUGCAGCUCUUCUUAAAACGCGGCUGCAAUUCCAGUUCUGUGGAGACAAAAGAAAACCCGUUUCAUGGGCUGAAUUCAAAAUAAAUCGUUUUAUGUUCUGAUGAUGAUUGGGAGAGUUUCCCUUUGUACGUUUCUUUAAAAUCAUAUCAGAUGUUUUCGUUUUCCCCAAACGCUCUUUAUUUAAUGUGCUCAAGUUUCAUUUACCUUCGAACCUCACAUGAAAAAAUAAUUCACACCCCCACACAGUGUCACUUAUUUUUGGUUUUUUCCUCAUUCUUAAAUGUUUUAGGUCAUCAGUCUGACUAAUCUAACCCUAUGUUUAAAAGUCAGUGCCCUCUUGUUAAGAUAUUAAUUUACUCUGAUUAAAUGAUCUUUUUCUUCAAAUUAAAAAUACUGAAAUCUGAUUUCCGCCAGAACUGUAGAUCAUUAAAUAACUUGAAUAGAUAUAGGUAUUUAAAUUGAUUAGUUGUAACAAUAGACUUCAUUUCAGAUGAUAAACAGUGCAGUAAAAAUGCUGUAGGCUGUUUAGUUUUUCUAAAUUUAAAUAUAAUAUUGUUACCUGGACGUCGCCAUGUUCUUUACGUUGCAAUGCAGCCUGGGAACAUGACAUAUGCUAGGUGCUACAGUGCUAGCUACAUCCAGCUAAAACAGUCAUUUUUGCACAUUGAGUAACGUUCAGCUGCUUCAAUAUGAACUUUUUCUGUCUUGAAAAAGAAGACAGAAGAGAAAUGAUGAAGAUGAGGAGGACCAAACAGAUGAAGAGGAGAGAGUCAGAGAAAAUGAUGUCUGUGCUGCUGGAAGAUGUUAAUCCAGAUUCCAGAAGGAAACCAUUUGAUUCACAGAGCUAUAGCUACCCUGUUUCCUAUCGAACUACUUUCUACUUUCAAAUAAAGGCAACUAGAGCCAACAAAACCUUUUAAAAAAAAAAAAGAGCUCUAGUUUCUACCAAUCACAGUUAGGAGGCGGGUCUUAGCGCUGUCAAUUAUCCAACAUCCUCUUGUUCGCUGCUGUGCUGCAGCUAGCAGAACCUGUCAUGAAUGCUAAGGCUAGUGAAGGUAGUGAAGGUUUUAACAAAUAUGUAAACAACAUUUUUAAGUAAAAGUUACUUAUUGCAGCUUUAAAUAUUCGUUUUGUUGUCGCUUUAAAAUAUCUACUUCAUAAUCUUACAAUUUUUUAGCUUUCAUGUUAGCUCCUGCUAAUGGUGGUAGUUCCUGCUAAUUGUGUUAGUAAACAGUAGAUCAGAUAUCUGUGGGAUGUGUUGGAUAAACGAUUCCAAUCCUGAGAAGACCCACUUCGUUAAGCAGGCCGCUACAUCUGAUCGGUGUCGUUAUUUUUUCACUAUUGGCCUUUUUUGCUCAAAAAUGACUGCAGAAACACUAAACCUGCGGACUGAGAGUCCAGCCUCAUCGUUCUGGGAGCCACGUACAGAUUCAGCGGCCUGAAGACCGUUAGCAUAAACGCUUCUACACUCUGUGCGUUUCUCAACCUGAGCAACGUCCUCAGAGAUGUCCCAACAAUUACGGACAACAAAGGAAGCUGGAAGUGAAGUCAGAACGAGCUCAUGUAGACACCAGACGUACACACGGCAGCAAACGGAAACAAACAAAGAAUGAAAGUGGCUCUAUUAGCCUCGGGUGUUCUGCAUCCAGUCAGGCUUUGAUAUUCAAACUAACCUUAAAUAGAAGCACAAACCUGCUUUAUUCUUCCGCUCAGAGCCACCACUGAGGUAACCGCACACACACACAUCAACGCAGCCCGUCUGUUCUCCGCUAACGUCUAUUCUUCUUCUCCACUAAAUGCAUUUAUUAGGGCUCUCCUACGGCGGCGGACACGCCAUGUAAAUACGCCGCUGUGUCUUCAGCUUCAAAAAAUGCCACAUCAUACAUGGACAUCGUCCGCCCACGCAACGCCUUCAGAAAGAAAACAUGGAAAUUACACCAGUCAAACUAAAUGUGAUGCAGGAGGGAAAAAAAACUUUUAUUGUAAAGAAAAAUGAAACAUGGAAACAUCUGAAACAUCAGGCUCUGAAUUAAACUGAAGGAUUUCAUGUUAAACUCUAAGGUGUAGCAUGUAGACAUCUGCUCUAACUCUUCAUAUUUAUUUACUUUUAAAGUUUCAUUUCUGACUUUUUCAGGGGAAGAAAGGAGCCGUAACGGUCAAACUGAAGGAAAGGAGAGAAAACAAGGAGGGAAGAAAACGAGGGGGGAAGGAGAGAAGGAAA